UCCUACGGGGGGCAGCAAUUAGGAAUCUUGCGCAAUGGGCGAAAGCCUGACGCAGCGACGUCGCGUGACCGAUGAAGUCCUUCGGGAUGUAAAGGUCUUUUGCAGGGGAAGAAGGAUGUGACGGUACCCUGCGAAUAAGCCCCGGCUAACUACGUGCCAGCAGCCGCGGUAAUACGUAGGGGGCGAGCGUUGUCCGAAUUUACUGGGCGUAAAGCGCGCGUAGGCGGAUUAUUAAGUCGGGGGUGAAAUCCCGAGGCUCAACCUCGGAACUGCCUCCGAAACUGGUAGUCUUGAGGUAUGGAGAGGGAAGUGGAAUUCCUGGUGUAGCGGUGAAAUGCGUAGAUAUCAGGAGGAACACCUGUGGCGAAGGCGGCUUCCUGGCCAUAUCCUGACGCUGAGGUGCGAAAGCUAGGGGAGCGAACGGGAUUAGAUACCCUGGU
rnacentral:rRNA from 1 species